GGAGCAAACAGGAUUAGAUACCCUGGUAGUCCAUGCCGUAAACGAUGUCUACUAGCCGUUGGUCUCUUUGAGGGAUUAGUGGCGCAGCUAACGCGAUAAGUAGACCGCCUGGGGAGUACGGUCGCAAGACUAAAACUCAAAUGAAUUGACGGGGGCCCGCACAAGCGGUGGAGCAUGUGGUUUAAUUCGAUGCAACGCGAAGAACCUUACCUGGUCUUGACAUAGUAAGAACUUUCCAGAGAUGGAUUGGUGCCUUCGGGAACUUACAUACAGGUGCUGCAUGGCUGUCGUCAGCUCGUGUCGUGAGAUGUUGGGUUAAGUCCCGCAACGAGCGCAACCCUUUUCCUUAUUUGCCAGCACUUUGGGUGGGAACUUUAAGGAUACUGCCAGUGACAAACUGGAGGAAGGCGGGGACGACGUCAAGUCAUCAUGGCCCUUACGACCAGGGCUACACACGUGCUACAAUGGUCGGUACAAAGGGUUGCUACCUAGCGAUAGGAUGCUAAUCUCAAAAAGCCGAUCGUAGUCCGGAUUGGAGUCUGCAACUCGACUCCAUGAAGUCGGAAUCGCUAGUAAUCGUGGAUCAGAAUGCCGCGGUGAAUACGUUCCCGGGCCUUGUACACACCGCCCGUCACACCAUGGGAGUUUGUUGCACCAGAAGUGGAUAGUCUAACUGCAAAGAGGACGUUCACCACGGUGUGGCCGAUGACUGGGGUGAAGUCGUA
rnacentral:rRNA from 1 species